rnacentral:lncRNA from 1 species
GUUUAGACCUCAAUUUUCAGAGAUUUUGAUGUGGUUGUGUCUGAUUAUGGGUUUCACUUAUUAGUCUAGUUCUUGACACUAGUGGUUUUUGAGUUAUUAACAAUAUUUCAUUUUCCUUGUUUGAUACAUUGUUCUUUUCUAUGUGCAUAAUAAUAAGAGUAUUGGUGCUGGUAUAUUUAAUUAAUUUGUUCUAUGUUGUUGUUUUACACCUUAACUUCAGAAAGUUGUUUGGUAUAUAUACAACUAGUUACUUGUUGUUUUAUGUGCUCCAUUAUUGAAUUAUAAUUUUAAUCACACGAGUUUUGAUUAUCAUCUGUUAAAUAUGCCUCAUCAGCUUCAAUUAUCU